CAAACACUGCGGACACUGAGGAGAGGUUACUCAUUAUUUGCUCGGACGGGGCGUAGCACAGUGGGUAAGGAACUGGGCUUGUAACCGAAAGGUCGCAGGUUCGAUUCCCGGAGAAGGAUAUGCAGCACGGACGUGUGAUUCUAAACCAGAGUGAUGCAGACCGAAGCCCUGCCUAAGAGAGGAAAGGCAGCUGAAUCACCAGGGAGACGCAAGUUGCUGAAGAGGGGCAGUUACAGCAGCCCAGUGAGAGGCCGGAGGGUGUGAUUUCCUGCCUAAUCAUCAUCACGAGAAGCACAGAUCGCAGCCCAAUCGAGAAACACAAGAGCUGCUCCAAAACUGUGAAGCCCGGCAUUAAGCGUGGCUGAUCUGCCCAGGGCUACAGAAUCAGCUGGGAGCCGGUGGCUAUAAUGUAAGAUGUGAACAUUAAGCGCUUCCUGCUGAUUUCCUCUCAUAGGAAAGUGGUGCUGUUGUUCCAAUUUCCUCAAGUACUGUGCUUGCGCUUACAGCAUAACAUAAUGAUCAAUAUAUUAGAUGAUUGAUAUAUGAAAUAAGCAAUAUAUUGGGCCAAUAAUCACAUUUUGAACCAUAUCUAUAUCGGUAAUCAAGGACACCGUGUUAGAUAUAGAGGACUAAUA